GGACUACAUACCAAACUCGGUCCUCUAGAAGAACAGUCCAUGCCCUUUACAAACACUGAGUCAUCUCUCUUGCCCCAAAACAUAUUUAAGAAUUUCUUUUUGCUCUUACUCUCUUGCCUCUUGCUUCUUGCCCCGUGCUCCCCAUCUCUCCCCAUUCACUUCCUUUCUCUCCACGUGGUCAUGGCCUACCUCUACUUCUCUACCCUCUCUCUCUCUCUCUCUCUCUCUCUCUCUGCUUUUCCCUGCCUCUACUGCCCUCUUAACUCCCCUCCUUGCGCCCUAAAUAAACUAUUCCAUACUAAAAAAAAAAAAAAAAAAAGAAUUUCUUUUUAUAAUUUAUUUAUUCACACACAAACACACACGCACACACCUACACCCCUCCCAAGGAUGUUAGCUGAACAUGGACAACCGGUACAAGAAGACUAGGCAAACUCAUACCAAACCAGGUGGAGGAACAUGGUUCCAAGAGCAGGCAAAAGAAUCAGAGUUAGCUGACUCCCGCUGUCAGGAGACCCACAAGAGCACCGAGCUACACAGCCACAACCUACACAGAGAACCUAGCACAGAUACAUGCAGGCUCUGUGAUUGUCAUGUCAGUCUUUGAGCCUCUGUAAGCCCUGCUUAGUUGGACAGAGUGGUGGCACACACCUUUAACCUCAGUGCUCUGGAGGCAGAGGCAGCUGGAUCUUGGUGAGUUUGAGGCCAUCUUGGUCUACAUAAUACAUGUGUAGCCAGCACUAUACAGUAAGACCAGGGUCUUCCUACGUAGCUCUGGCUAUCCUAGAACUUACUAUGUAGACCUAUAGAAUGUUGCUUCUAUGGGCCAUGUUCUCCUAGACUCCUUGACCCCUCUGGCUCCCAUAAUUUCUUCUCCCCCACUUCCAUGGGGUUCCCGACGGGAGGAACCCUGUGGAGACCUCCAACCUGGGCUCUCUCCACUUAAUGUUUGACUGAGUCUGUGCAUCACUCCCAUCAGCUGCCAAGGAGCCUCUUGGAUGACAGUUAGGCAAGGCGCCAAUCUCUGAGUCUAUAAAGAUGUCACUAGGAAUCAUUUAACUGCUUUUUGUUUUGUUCUCCUAGCCUAGGUCUCUGGGCUGUCCAGACAGGGUAGGGCAUCGGCUUCCUCUCGUGGGGUGGGCCUCAAAGAAGACCAGUCAUUGGCUGGCCACUCCUAUAAGUUCUGUGCCACCUUUACCUCAGCACAGCUGCAGAAAGAACAAAUUGUAGCUUGAAGGUUUUGUGGCUGGGUUGAUGUCCCAGGCCCUCCACUGGAAGCCUUGGUUACAGAAGAUGGCCAGUUCAGGCUCCGUACCCUCCUUUACUAGGAAUCCUCCAUGGGGUCACUCUCAUAGAUUCCAGGGAGUUUCCACAGCACCCCCAAAUGCUCUCCAGUUCCAGCAAUCCCUCCUUGUACUCUCUCCUUCUAUGCACCCCUCCCCCCACCCUGAUUUUUCUAUUUCCUUCCUCACCCGCAAAGUCUGUUCUGUUUUUCCCUCCCAGGGAGAUGCAUUCGUCUCCUCUAGAGCCCAGCGUGUUACUUAGCUAGCCUCUCUGGGUCUGUGGCUUGUAGGGUGUUUCCCUUUACCAUGCAGCUCAUAGCCACUUACAGAUGAGUAGUACAUUCCAUGUUUGUCUUUCUGGGUCUGGGUUACCUCACUCAGGUAGAAAAGGUUAUCUUUUCUAGUCCCAUUCAUUUGCCUGCAAAUUUCAUGAUGUCAUUUUCUUAGCAGCUGAGUAGUAAGUACUCCAUUGUAUAAAUGCAUCACAUGUUCUUUAUCCCUCAGCUCACAGACAUCUAGGUGGUUUCCAGUUUCUGGCUAUUAUGAAUAAAGCUGCUAUGAACAUAGUUGAGCAAGUGUCCUUGUGGUAAGAUGGAGCCCCAAAAGUGGUAUAGUUGGGUCUUGAGGUAGAUCUAUUCCCAAUUUUCUGAGGAACUGCCAAAUUGAUUUCUAGAGUGUCCCCUUGCUCCACACCCUUGCCAGCAUAAGCUGCCACUUGUGUUUCUGAUCUUAGCCAUUCUGACAGGUAAAAGAUGGAAUCUUUUGAUUUGCAUUUCCCUGAUGGCUAAGGAUAUUGGAACAUUUCUUUAAGUGCUUCUUAGCCAUUUGGGAUUCUUGUAUUGAGAGUUCUGUUUACAUCUGUAUCCCACAAUUGGAUAAUAUGGUUGUUGAUACCUAGUUUCUUGAGUUCUCUAUAUGUGUUGGAUAUUGGCUCUAUGUUGGAUGUGGAGUUAGUGAAAAUCUUUUCUAUUCUGUAGGCUGCCAUUUUGUCCUAUUGAAAGUGUCUUUUAUCUCAUAGAAAGAAGCUUUUCAGUUUCAUGAGGUCCCAUUUAUUGUUUUUUCCCCCCCUUUGGUUUUAUAAAACAGGGUUUCUCUGUGUAGCCCUGGCUGACCUGGAACUCACUCUGUAGACCAGGCUGGACUCGAACUCAGAGAUCUGCCUGCCUCUGCUGGGAUUAAAGGCAUGUGCCACCACGCCCAGCUGAGGUCCCAUUUAUUGUUGAUUUCAGUGCCUGCUCUAUUGAUGUUCUGUUCAGGAUGUUGUCUCCCGAGCCAAUGUGUAUCUGACUUUAUGUUAGGUCUUUAAUCCGCUUAGACUUGAGUUUUGUACUAUGUGAUAGGUGUGGGUCUCUUCGCAUUCUUGUACACGUAGACACGCAGUUAGAGCAGCACCAUUUGAUCUCUGAGUGUGUCUUUGUUGAAUGGGUAUUUUUUGUUUCUUGGUUUCUGUUAUUUGUGGCCUGUGUUGAGCUGCGAGGGGUGGGGGUGUAGUGUCUCCACCUGAGUUCAGGGCUCUGAUCCAGCAAAGAGGCUCUGCCUGACUUGGCCUAAGACACAGUGAAAAGGAAAGGAGGAGAGGGAUUGGGGAGAGUCAGUGUGAUGACACAGUGGUCAUGCAUGGGUGGCUUACCUGGAGUUCUGGCAGCUGAAGUGGCUUCUGGUCCUAAAGAAU
rnacentral:lncRNA from 1 species